CUUCUCCUUGAUGGAUUCAUCUUGCUUCUCCUGCUCUCAAGGACUGCUUUCCUGUUCAGUGUGACCACCAUCCCUGUGCUGGGCUGAAUUUUCUUUCUGCCUAAAUGAGGCCAGAGACUGAAUCCACAACCAGCAUCCCCGCAGCUAAGCAGAUUUCUACCAUCCCAGACGAGGAUUGGGUAUGAAAGAGACCCCAGGGCCACGCAUCAGGACACCUCUUUCUCUUCUGAUCCUGCCUGACUGCAUGGAAAUAUAAAGUCUACCUGCCACUGCCUCUUGGAUGAUCUCCUAUCUCAUGAAGGCUACAAACAUGUCUCUCUUAUCGUAAAGCCUGCACGUUUAUCACAAGAAGUCCAGAGCAGCAGCCAUCUUCAGUGAGUCCUUGAAUCAUGCAAUUGCCUUUGUGAAACUGCAGCUGGGAACAACCUGAUUUUCCUCGCUGCCUUUCAGUUCAGCAGCAACAUCCUUGACGUGUCCUGUGAAAUCCUGAAGCAUGGAAGCUAAAGCCUCUGUUUGCAGGCACACAGGAGAUGACAAGUCCAAGUGCACAUUUGCUUUGAUGAGAUUUUUAGGAGCAGAGAUUACAUUGCUGGCUGCACCACUGCAAGAAAUAGAGGAGAACUGCUGUUGUGAGUCACAUCACAGAACUGAGUACAGCAGACAGAGAGACAGACAUGAGGUAUUCCUUCCCAUAGCAAACUCCUUUUGGAGGAAAACAAACAUGUUCAGGAGCAGGUGAGGUUCUCAGGUGUUAGUUCCCUUCCAAUGAGAUGUCAGAGACAAAAUGUUUUCAGUUGUCCAGGAUGUUUUUGAACAAAGAGGGGUAACUUUUUCUGAAUUUAAUGCUAAUCUUUUGCAUAGAAUCAUUUAGUUUGGAAAAGACCUCUAAGGUCAGGUCCAAUGAUCACCCCAACACCACCAUUAAGCCAUCUCCAAAAGUGUUAUGUGUACCCAUUUUUGUUACACUUUCAAGGACAGUGACCCAGCACCUCCAAUGCCUGACCACACUUUCAGGGAAGACAUUUUCCCUUCUAUCCAACCUAAACCCCCCCUGGUGCAACCUGAGGCCCUUUCCUCUCAUUUUCAUGUGAAAACUGAUUUAUCCAUAAGGGCCAGGGACCUUGCCAUGUGUGAGAAGGGCCUGAAUGCUGCAAGGACACUUCUUAGUGAGAGGAGCAGCAUGACUGGAGUUAGCUUUUGAAGAAAAUCCCAAUAGUGAGACUUCUGCUCAAGGAAACCCAUUCCCAACCUAUUUCUGUUCACUCCAUUUCAAACAAAUGGGCUCAAAUAAAAUAUAGCUCUGGUAUUUCAAAGUCUUUU